rnacentral:rRNA from 1 species
AAACGGGUGGUAAUGCCGGAUGCUCCGACUCCUCGCAUGGGGUGUCGGGAAAGAUUUCAUCGGUAUGGGAUGGGGUCGCGUCCUAUCAGGUAGUCGGCGGGGUAACGGCCCACCGAGCCUACGACGGGUAGCCGGCCUGAGAGGGCGACCGGCCACAUUGGGACUGAGAUACGGCCCAGACUCCUACGGGAGGCAGCAGUGGGGAAUAUUGCACAAUGGGCGCAAGCCUGAUGCAGCGACGCCGCGUGCGGGAUGACGGCCUUCGGGUUGUAAACCGCUUUUGAUCGGGAGCAAGCCUUCGGGUGAGUGUACCUUUCGAAUAAGCACCGGCUAACUACGUGCCAGCAGCCGCGGUAAUACGUAGGGUGCAAGCGUUAUCCGGAAUUAUUGGGCGUAAAGGGCUCGUAGGCGGUUCGUCGCGUCCGGUGUGAAAGUCCAUCGCUUAACGGUGGAUCUGCGCCGGGUACGGGCGGGCUGGAGUGCGGUAGGGGAGACUGGAAUUCCCGGUGUAACGGUGGAAUGUGUAGAUAUCGGGAAGAACACC